AUUGAACGCUGGCGGCAUGCCUUACACAUGCAAGUCGAACGGUAACGCGGGGCAACCUGGCGACGAGUGGCGAACGGGUGAGUAAUGCAUCGGAACGUGCCCAGUAGUGGGGGAUAGCCCGGCGAAAGCCGGAUUAAUACCGCAUACGACCUACGGGUGAAAGCGGGGGACUCGCAAGAGCCUCGCGCUAUUGGAGCGGCCGAUGUCAGAUUAGGUAGUUGGUGGGGUAAAAGCCUACCAAGCCGACGAUCUGUAGCUGGUCUGAGAGGACGACCAGCCACACUGGGACUGAGACACGGCCCAGACUCCUACGGGAGGCAGCAGUGGGGAAUUUUGGACAAUGGGCGCAAGCCUGAUCCAGCCAUGCCGCGUGCGGGAAGAAGGCCUUCGGGUUGUAACCGCUUUGUCAGGGAAGAACGACUCUGGGCGUAAUACCCUGGGGUAAUGACGGUACCUGAAGAAUAAGCACCGGCUAACUACGUAGCCAGCAGCCGCGGUAAUCUG
rnacentral:rRNA from 1 species